AGAGACUUCCUCUUUUGACAUUUUCGAGGGAGCAGCUGUUAAACUGUUAGCUCUUCGCGGGGGGUUACUCUUUGACUAAGGCCAUUCUUUGCUAGAAAGUGGUGGUCUUGCAGAAAACGGGGGACGUGAAGGAAGAAUUUUGUCAAAUAUUGAUUUCCCUGGUGAGAUAUGUUGAAGAUACUCUGGGUCUGCCAUGACAUGCUUCCUCGAGCUUCAUCGAGCAGAUGGAGGCUUUGUUAGGGAAACCACCUUAAUUUCUGCGCUGUUUUUGAGGUGGGAGGAAGGAGAUAGAAUUAACCUCUUUUUCCUUCCUCCUUUUUUUUUUUUUUUUAAUUGUGGACGGCAUGCAUUGUCUUUUAUUUGAGGGGAAAAUGUAUUGGAUCUGAAAACCA